ACCAACCAUCCACCCACCCAACCAACAAACCAACCAAUCAACCAACCAGCCAAUUUUGAAACCAUCCAGAGGAAGACUAUUACAGGAUUAAAUGUUCUAGCAAGGAAACAUGAAGCUGGUCCAACGUGCUGCUGGGAUGGCUCCUUGAAGCUUGAACAUGAUGACCUUCAGCAAAGGAGGUGGAGAUGUACAGAGGAGGAGACCGUUAGUUCCCUGAGUGAAGAGAUGCUAUCUUGGUAUCUCCAGCUUCCAACCGGGGGCUUGGCACAGAAUAGGGGCUUGGUAAAUGUUUUCCAAAUGAAUGGGAUGUCUGAUGGAAAGAAGACAAGGUGAAGGAAUUCCUGGGUAAUAUGGAGAUGAGAAUCUGUGAGAAGGAUACAUGUACUGAUGCCUGUCGCGGUGGACACACAGACGCACACAUUGCGGAACACCACCAUAAGAAUAUUGAGAAUAUCGAGAACACUUCAAUAUUCCAAACUUCAAUGGAAAUAUACGUAGGUUUCACUUAACUAUGGUCCUGAUGGCUUUUUUGAAAAAGAAAGAAAGAAAAAAUGUUUUCAUCAUAUUAAGAAAAUGUCUUAGUCUUAGUUCAGAGAUUUCAUCAGAAAAUGAUGUUGAUUUAUAUAAAAGCUUUUUCAUAGAUAUAUCAAACCUAUAGAAAUUAUAAUGCAUUUUUCUCCUCUUUUGAUAUAUUGAUACAAUGCUGCAGAUCUUCUAAGAUUGAAUGAUCCUUGCAUUACUGAAAUAAGUAUUGUCAUAGUGUAUUAUCAUUUUAUUACAGUAUGCAUUUGA
rnacentral:lncRNA from 1 species